rnacentral:misc_RNA from 1 species
AACGCACAUUGCGCCCCUUGGUAUUCCAUGGGGCAUGCCUGUUCGAGCGUCAUUGUAAACCUCAAGCUUUGCUUGGUGUUGGGUGUUUGUCCUGCCUGUUGUGUAUGGACUCGCCUUAAAAAUAUUGGCAGCCGAUCCCCUCAGUUCGGAGCGCAGCAGAUACAGCGCGACGAAGCUAGGCGUAGCGGCACCCAGAAGCUUCUCCCCAAGUUUGACCUCGGAUCAGGUAGGGAUACCCGCUGAACUUAA